UAUGUAGAAGACUAGUGUUAUUCAUCUUUAAUAGGUUUAAAGGGUACCUAGACGGUAUAAUUAGUCUUUAACAGGAAACGGUUAUACUAGAGUUAUAUAUGAGGAGGUGAGUAUUUGUGGAGUAGAGUUGAAAUUCUUUGAUACCAUGAAGACUGGUAAAGGCGAAAGCAACCUUUUAUCUAAUAACUGACGUUGAGGGACGAAGGCUCGGGUCGCGAACAGGAUUAGAUAACCCU
rnacentral:rRNA from 1 species